GACUAUUUAUAAAUGCAAUGAUCUUGUUCAUCAUGAGAACAUUAUUUCAUUACAAUUGAGAAUGUACUUAUGCACUUGUUGAUUGUUUCUUGUUUGCUCACUUAUGUAAUUCACAUUCCUUAAAUAAAAUUCAAAUGCAAUCAUAAGUAGAUCACCAUUCAUAAAACUUAAUAAUUUAUUUAAUAAGAUUUGUUGUCAAUGAAACAUCUAUCAAAACAGUUUUUACCUUAACAAAAAGUCUUACCCUCGUGAUCUUUUGACCUUGCAAUGGAGACUUCAAUAAAGGACACUCCAAUGAGUGAGAGGUUGUGACAAUUAGGAGCGAAACCAUGACAUAAUGGUGCACGACCAUGACAUCGGCAUGGGGAGGAUGCCAUGGUUGUGGCUAGGCAAAGAGAUCUCAGAUGAGGAGACAAGUCAUCCUUGAGGUAAAAACAAUGGUUAUUGAAGACAAAUCAAAGCUCUUAUGAUGAUUAUGACCAUGGAGCACGAGGAACCCAAAAGGCCAUAAAUGUUGUUGGUGGAGGAGUUAUGGAACAAUAGGUGGGUGGAGCAGUGAGGUGUGGGAGUGGUGAUAAUGCAGCAGUUCUAUAAUCUCGAAGGUUAGGAGGAGAUGGGUAACACAAGACAAACCGGGAGAGAAAACCUCAAUAAGGGAGUGCCAAGAGAUUUAUAUAAUUGGAGGGAAAUGGCCUACUAGGUCAGGGCAGUCCGCGGAGGAAAAAGGGAAAAGGUAGCUCAUCGCCUCUCCCUAAAAUUAGGAUUCACAACAUUUUGAAUUGGGUGUUGUUGAAAGGUUGAAUAGCGGAUUGAAU
rnacentral:lncRNA from 1 species